rnacentral:rRNA from 1 species
AUUGAACGCUGGCGGCAGGCCUAACACAUGCAAGUCGAACGGUAGCACAGAGAGCUUGCUCUCGGGUGACGAGUGGCGGACGGGUGAGUAACGUCUGGGAAACUGCCCAAUGGAGGGGGAUAACUACUGGAAACGGUAGCUAAUACCGCAUAACGUCGCAAGACCAAAGUGGGGGACCUUCGGGCCUCACACCAUCCGAUGUGCCCAGAUGGGAUUAGCUAGUAGGUGGGGUAAUGGCUCACCUAGGCGACGAUCCCUAGCUGGUCUGAGAGGAUGACCAGCCACACUGGAACUGAGACACGGUCCAGACUCCUACGGGAGGCAGCAGUGGGGAAUAUUGCACAAUGGGCGCAAGCCUGAUGCAGCCAUGCCGCGUGUAUGAAGAAGGCCUUCGGGUUGUAAAGUACUUCCAGCGGGGAGGAAGGCGGUGAAGUUAAUAACUUCACCGAUUGACGUUACCCGCAGAAGAAGCACCGGCUAACUCCGUGCCAGCCGCCGCAGUAA